ACUUCCCUCGUCAGCUCCUCAUCAGCACUCAUCACCUGCACCUGGACUUGAUCAUCUGCACUCCCUUUAUAAUGCACUCACUCCCUGCACUCCUGGUCCGUUCUCUGUUUAUGUUAGACGCUUGUUUGGUGUACUCUGCCUUUGUUUAUAUUAAAACCCUGUAUGUUUGUGGAAAUCCGUUAUCUGCCUCAUCUCUACACCACCAGCCGUAACAUAUACCAGUUAAAUUUUCAAGUAACUUCAAUUCUUUGGCGAAUGAAAGUGUAUCUCUACAUUUUUUUUUUUUUGUUAUCAAUACAUUGGAGAGACUCAACAUACAAAUGAAAAUCAAUCAUAAAGACCUUCAAACAGGGUUUAGAAUUAUUUCUUUUACUUUUAUGAAUAUGAAAUUUACCCAAUACAAUCAUAAGAUUCAUCAUAAAAUUAACAGAUGGAUUUUUUGAUUCAAAAUAUAAGAUAACAUCUUUGGAUGUUAAUUCACAGUUAUAACCAGACUUCUGUAGAAUAUGUAUAGACAAAUCUUCCCAGAAUUUUUUUGGAGUGGUAACACUAAAAAAAAGAUGUAGAAUUCUUUCUGGCUGAUCUGAAAAUUCAUUAAUAAAUUUUUCACUAAUAUCCAUAAAUUUUGAUAAAGUGUAGUUACUAACAUAAAUAUUAUGAAGUACUUUCAGAUGUAUUUCCCGAAGUUUGUUAGAUAUAUAAAACCGAAAGGGAAGCAGCCAAGCUUUUUUCCAAAUAAUUUCUGGAAAACAACUGUUCCAGAAAAAAUUCCCUCUAGGCUUAAUAGAUCUCUUUUCAUAAAAUAUAUUCCUAAUAAAUUUAUUUGUGCAUUUUUUACUGUUAAUGUCCACCCCAUUUAAAUGAAGAGCGGCUUCAAUUUUACAAGUGUUAAGGGACAACUUAUGGCAUAUCAACAUCUCAAUAAACCUUGGGGAAUUGCAUUUAUUACAGAAUAAUAUUCUCUAUAUUUAAUAGGAAAUGUCCAUUUAUUCAAAAGAUUUUCAUAAGAAAGAAACUGAACUGACUGAUCAAAAAGGUCAGAUACAAAAUAAAUUCCCUUCCAUCCAAUUCUGUAAAUAAAGAGAUUUUCCGUUAACUGUAAUAUAAGUAUUGUUCCACAAGAUUGCUUUAUGUGGAGAAAAGUUAUGCACAUAACAUAACUUCCAGGCCUUGAGAGCUUGUUGAUAGAAAUUGGAUAAUGCCACAGGCAGUUUGUUAGUAGAGUAAUCACACAUUAACAAAAAGCGUAAAUCUCCAACCUUUUUAAAAACAUUGUAUGGUAUAAAAAACCAUAUUGAGUCUGAUUUAAGUAUACAGUUUCUGAGUCAUUUUACUUUGAACGUAUAAUUUAAAUCGAAAAUUCCAAAAGCUCAAAACCACCUUCAUUCCUUGGACCCUGAAAAACUUUUUUUCUUAAAUGAUGAUGAUUCCUCCAAACAAAUAUAGUAAAUAAAUCAUUAAUUUUCUUACAAAUUGAGUCUUGAACAAAGAAGGAUAAUGCCGGAUAAACAAAUCAAGAUACCCCUUCUACUUUGGUUAAAAGGACUCUACCUAUAAUAGUCAAGUCUCUUUGAAGCCAAUUAUUAAAUAUGUUUUGAGCUUUUUUAAGUUUAGGGGAAAAAUGUAAUUCUUGUCUCUUCACUAUAUCUUUUGUAACACUUGUUCCUAAAUACUUAAUCUUAUUUUUUACUGGGAUGUUACACAAAUUUUUUUCAUUUUAUUCAUAAAGGCACAUUAUUUCACAUUUCGUGACAUUUAACAUUAAACCAGAAGCAACAGAAAAAGUGUUUACUAACUGCAAAGCUGCAGGCAACUGUUCUUUAUCUUUGAAGAAAAGAACAGUAUCAUCCACAAGCUGAUUCAGUUUAAUUUGUUUGUUGAAGAUGGUAAUUCCUUGGAUAAUUGAAGAAUUCAAAACUUUUAUGUAAAGAAACUCUACUGCAAUAAGCAAUAAAAAAGGGGAUAUAGGACAACUUUGAGACACUCCUCUACAAAUAGGAAAACUUUUAGAAGUGUUUGGAUAUAAAUUAACAGAGCUAUUAAUACCUCUAUGAAACAUUUCAAUUAUAGAAACAAAUCUUUCCCCAAAACCAAAAGAUUUUAGUGCCCUAUACAUAAACUGAUGCUCAAUAGUGUCAAAAGCUUUGUGGAAAUCGAGGAAAACAAUUAAAGCCUCCGAUUCCACUAUUCCAUUUGAAUAGUCUAAUAAAUCCAAAUCAGUCUAAUGUUCCAACUUAUGUGUCGGCCAGCCAUAAACCCAGUUUGACACUCAUUUAUAAUUUUGUUCAGACCUUUUUUCAAACUAACUGCAUAAAUAAGAAAUAACAAUUUAUAAUCUACAUUUAAUAAAGUUUUAGGACGCCAAUUAUCCAAAAUCAAGUGAUCUUUAUCUGGUUUUGGGAGUAGGGUUAUUAGCCCCUGUUUCAUAGAAGUCGAUAAUUCAUUGGAUUCAAUACAUUCUUUAUAAAUUUAGAAUAAAGGAUUUUCAAUAAUAUCCCAAAAGCAGAGCUAAAAUUCAACAGAAAGACCUGCAGAGGCGAUUUAUUUUUUUUCAUUGAACAAAUAGCUGUAACCAUCUCUUGCUUCCUAAGUUUUUCAUCACAAAGGUCUCGAAAUUGAAUAGAAAUAGAAGGGACCGAUUGCUUAACUGACUCAAAGAAGUAAGAACAUUUAUCCAAUUCAAAUACAGAUUCAUAUAACUUAAAAGGAUUCCACAUAAUUUGUAAUCAAUUUUGGAUUCGAAGUGGGUACAUCAAUUUUAAUCUUGGCUAUAUCAUAUUGACCGGCGAUAGCCCAUGACAUCAUAACAAUGCGACCCGCGUGAAUAGAGGGUAUGCAUCGACAUCACUUUCCCACCGGAACGCGCUCCCUCAGCUGGACUGAGUGGCAAAGCUGCAUGACUGGAUUUAAUAGGGGAAACUGCGAAAACACCAGUAAAACAAACGUUUACACUAAAGGGACUGUCAUGUGUGAAGCACUAUCUGGCAAAAUGAAAUGCACAGAGAGGAUUAUUAAGUGUGUGGAUCCGUGUCCUCGCUACCUGACACUAGAUGACACACACAAGCUGUUCGUUCUCUGUCUGGGGAAGAGCACGCAUGGAGGAAAUCGUCCCAUCAGAUCCAUUCCUAGGGUGUGUCCAGGCUCUGUAACUUGCGUGCUCUGUAGGAAACCAGAUGGCUUAGAAUUACUGGGGACUCUCUGAUACAGCACCCCUCUACUGUACCUCAAAGGAAAUAGACCUUUCUUUGGUUGAGCGAGGUUUAAUGCCAUCUUUCAGAUCGGGAAGCUGUGGAGACGUUGCUGCCCGGCAUUCAUCGAUCCACCGCGAGG